UUUUUCGUGCACGACAUAUAUUUCUCUUUGACCCCCAACGACAACCAAUUGUGUGUAAAACAUGAUGAUAUUCUUGCCUUCGUCCACAGGAAAGCCUCGAGAUGCUACUGCUGCUCGCGAGUUCGUCUUGAAAAUGUUCGUGAACUUGAAUCCAGAUCCGGAGAAACCCAUUUACUCCCAUUUCACAUGUGCCACCGACACGGAGAAUAUCAAGUUCGUUUUUGCCGCCGUUAAAGACAGUAUUUUACAACAGCACCUCAAGGACUAUAAUCUAGUGUAAUGUAUCCAUGUGUCACGCACAAAUUGUAAUUUAAUUUUGAAUCACAUUUGUCAUUUGUGAACUCUGAAAAACGUCACUUGUGAGCUCUGAGAACGCCAUUUGUGAGCUGUGAAGAACGCCAUUUGUGUGUUCUGAGAAUGCCAUUUGUGUGUUCUGAGAACGCCAUUUGCGAGCUGUGAAGAACGCCAUUUGUGUGUUCUGAGAAUGCCAUUUGUGUGUUCUGAGAAUGGCGUUUGUGAACUCUGAAGAACGUGACUUAUGAGCUCAGAAGAACGUCAUUUGUGAAUUCUGAGAGAAAUGUUUGAGGGAAUUAACUGACUCAGUGUUAAAUACCGAGUCAGUUUCCCAAACAUUUCUCAUAAUAAAUGCUUCAAAACAUAGAGUUUACCAAUACAAAAUUCCUAUUGUGAUCACAGAAACUUUGAUAGUGCAAACCAGGCUUAUAUAGGGAUGCCUCACAUAUCGAUUCUGUCCACGAGAAACAUCAUAUGUUCGUUUCUCUGGAGACCCCCCCUCCCCCCCUUAGAAACGUCACACAUAGUUAUCGAUAUUUUGUUCUUAUAGAUAUAGUACACAUAAGGUAAUUUUCUACUAUUUUCUACGGUCGGCUAUUGGCGAUACUUCCGCGAAGAAUAUGUCAUCUGCUGCUAUCUUUUUUCAUUAAUAUAUAUGAACUUCAAAAUUUCCAACGUUUCUCAAAACAACUACUUUUGCAUGAAAUAUUGAUAAUUUUAGCGCGUUUUUCUUAAAAUCUGAGACUGUUUUCAAUGCAAAGAAGGCGUAAUAAUAUAAAUGUAUACGUAUAUAGAACGGGUACGGUAUUACGAAUGUAAUUUUUUUAUUCUGCAAAGAUGAUUCCGAAAUGUUAAGGCUUUCGAAAAAACUAUCGAAUUUUCCCAUGAUGUUUACUGAGAAACGUCACAGCUGCA